UCCCUGGUGGCUCAGAUGGUAAAGAAUCUGCCUGCAAUGUAGGAGACCUAGGUUCGAUCCCUGGGUUGGGAA
rnacentral:tRNA from 1 species